rnacentral:rRNA from 1 species
CAGCCGCCACGGUAAUACGUAGGUGGCAAGCGUUGCCCGGAUUUAUUGGGCGUAAAGCGAGCGCAGGCGGUUAGAUAAGUCUGAAGUUAAAGGCUGUGGCUUAACCAUAGUACGCUUUGGAAACUGUUUAACUUGAGUGCAAGAGGGGAGAGUGGAAUUCCAUGUGUAGCGGUGAAAUGCGUGGAUAUAUGAAGGAACACCGGUGGCGAAAGCGGCUCUCUGGCUUGUAACUGACGCUGAGGCUCGAAAGCGUGGGGAGCAAACAGGAUUAGAGACCCCGGUAGUCCCUGUCUCUUAUACA